AAAAUCUCAAAAGAAUAUGCAAAAUUUGUCCGGAUUUUUUAUCCGUGAUUGAACUUGAACCCCUGAGUUUGGUGAAAUUCCAAUAUAACUGUCUGGGAGAUCAUCAGAAACUAAUAGUCUUUGAGGAUGCAGGUGUAAUGAAGAGAGAUUGGAGAGAUUAAAGCUCUAUGCAGUGGACUUGAUAUUGUGAUUAAGGAUUAUAGACUAAAAAUUGUGAUAAAUUUACAAAAACAGACGGCCCUUAUUAAAGGGGGAAAGAAAAAAAAACACGCACACCCUAAGGCCCCGCUGGGAUUCGAACCCAGGAUCUCCUGUUUACGAGACAGGCGCUUUAGCCAACUAAGCCACAGAGCCAGCCGUGCUGAUUCUGUGGCUUCUUUUAUGACCGAAUUGCACUUAAUUAGGUGACAAAUUCUGUUGCCAUUAAGAGUUACUGUGUUUUCGAAUACAUCAACUUUGCAGUAAAGGCAGACUCCUGAAAGGAACUUCUAGAAAUUAGACUCCCUUCAAGUCCAACAAAACACACCCACACUCACACAAUCACUUAGAAAAUGUGCUUAGAACAAUGUCAGCGCGUCCCAGAGGGCAAAUAAAACCGUGAAAUCGGAGAGUGGAGAUGAACCAUGUUCCCAGCGGAGGAAGAGGCAUCGGUCUCUAGACGUGGCGAGAGCAGUUUUUACAUUCCAUGGCAUUGCGGUGAUUUCGAAUCAUCAAGUGGUUGGAUUCUAAAAGUGGAGUGAAAAGCUUUUCUAGCAAAACAGAUCAUUCAGAAUUUUCAUCACAUUAAUGGCUUUUCUGGCCAAUUAGAAGAUAGCACACGGAUGCGCUGAAAAACAAAAACUGUUAACGCGUUCAGACUCUCCAAACAGCUGCCA
rnacentral:tRNA from 1 species